GGCGCAGCGCGCGGCGUCAGUCUUGGCUGGCAGACCUGUACUCCGUACUCCGUACUUCGUAGUCGCAGCGGCGCGGUCUUCGGCAGUCUAGUCAUCCACCGCCAUCCUGGGCCCCACGUGUUGCCUGACCAUUCCUGAGCCCAGGUGGGAGCCGUGGCUGAGGUGACGGUCUCAAAGUGGAAGAGCUUACUGUCACAGCAACUCCUUUGCAAGAUGCCCCGGUAAAUCACGUUGCAGAGACCCCAACUCUGCCUUCCUGGAACUAGGCCUGCGUUUUCUCUGAACCAUUAUUUCAUGGGGAAAAUGAAAUCUACUUCAUGUGCCUGGUCUACUUACUCCUUCAGAAGUGAUUUCUGAGCCGCCAGGAAUAGUUGCUGAACACCCCAGGCCUGCUGAGGUCCCUCCUUGAGUCUCAUGUUCAAGCAGUCUUCACAUGGCACAAGAGUGCCUGCCAUCCGUCAGUGUUUCUACAGCAGCAAUCCCAAGAUGCUGGAGCUAGAGGGGACCUGACCUGAGAGAAGAUACCUUCAGUGGCUGCCAG
ensembl:lncRNA SNHG15 small nucleolar RNA host gene 15